rnacentral:rRNA from 1 species
GGAUUAGAUACCCUGGUAGUCCACAACUGUAAACGAUGAAUGCUCGACGUGUGUCCCGUUUUGCCGGACGCGUGUCCAAGCUAACGCAAUAAGCAUUCCGCCUGGGGAGUACGGUCGCAAGACUAAAACUCAAAGGAAUUGACGGGGGCCCGCACAAGCGGUGGAGUAUGUGGUUUAAUUCGACGCAACGCGCAGAACCUUACCCAGUCUAGAAGUCAUAGGAACCCGACAGAAACGUUGGGGUGCCCUUUUCGGGAAUCUAUGUGACAGGUGCUGCAUGGCUGUCGUCAGCUCGUGCCG